rnacentral:rRNA from 1 species
AGUGAACGCUGGCGGUAGGCCUAACACAUGCAAGUCGAACGGCAGCACAGUAAGAGCUUGCUCUUACGGGUGGCGAGUGGCGGACGGGUGAGGAAUACAUCGGAAUCUACUUUUUCGUGGGGGAUAACGUAGGGAAACUUACGCUAAUACCGCAUACGACCUACGGGUGAAAGCAGGGGAUCUUCGGACCUUGCGCGAUUGAUUGAGCCGAUGUCGGAUUAGCUAGUUGGCGGGGUAAAGGCCCACCAAGGCGACGAUCCGUAGCUGGUCUGAGAGGAUGAUCAGCCACACUGGAACUGAGACACGGUCCAGACUCCUACGGGAGGCAGCAGUGGGGAAUAUUGGACAAUGGGCGAAAGCCUGAUCCAGCCAUACCGCGUGAGUGAAGAAGGCCUUCGGGUUGUAAAGCCCUUUUGUUGGGAAAGAAAAGCAGCAGGUUAAUACCCCGCUGUUCUGACGGUACCCAAAGAAUAAGCACCGGCUAACUUCGUG